rnacentral:tRNA from 1 species
GCACUGGUAGUUUAUAAUGCUAAAACAAAACACUGAAAAUGUUUAGAUGAUUUUUAACUAAAUCCUAGUGCA